rnacentral:rRNA from 1 species
GACGAACCACACGAACGUUAUACGGAAUUACUGGGCUUAAAGGGUGCGUAGGCGGCGCGGUAAGUAGGGUGUGAAAUCCCUCGGCUCAACCGAGGAACUGCGCUCUAAACUACCGUGCUCGAGGGAGGUAGAGGUGAGCGGAACUUAGGGUGGAGCGGUGAAAUGCGUUGAUAUCCUAAGGAACACCGGUGGCGAAAGCGGCUCACUGGAUCUCUUCUGACGCUGAGGCACGAAAGCUAGGGUAGCGAACGGG